rnacentral:lncRNA from 1 species
UCAAAAGGGGAAAGAGUCGUAUCUAAGCAUUUCACAAGCAGGAUAAACAUUGCAAUAUAUAAUAGAUGGAAGAGUAAUAAAAUUUGUCUUACAAUCGCCACAAGCUAAAUUACAGAUCCACACAGCCAUUCAUUAUUUCGAUAUAAAACAGGGUCCGAGUACGGACAAGAUAGACGACAAAAUUUAAUGCUAUCCCACCUUGCUAGGACCACGAUCACGACCAAGUGCCUCUAGUCCUCGGGGUACGUCACAUGCAACCGGCCACAGUCCUCGUCAAACUCCCACUUCAGCUGGGUAUCCUCGGAAGCAUUUGUAUCUGGGGUACCUGUACCUGUGGGUGGUUGUAGUAAUCUGUGAGCCACAAGGACUCAGCAAUCUCAUGACCUUAGAUUCGAAUCUAACUAAGUCACUAGGUGAGGAUGGGGUAUGUGUUUGGGUUUGCGGCAACCUAAGCAUUUAUAGUGGCUAACUUACAUUGAACAAGAAUUAAAGAUAUGGUGGUCUACGCAUGACGUUCGUUAACUAAGAAUAAUCACUAAGUGAUCCUGGACGCCAACUUACAUCAGUCAUAACCCCACCAUGUUCUCGAUUAGAGAAGGAACUCUGAAGGAGACAUUCCCAGUUACGCACACAGUUGGCAUGUUUUAAUUAAGUUACUUAAAGUUAUCUAGAACCGGAUGUUAACAAAGUUUCCAUGUUUGCCACAUAACCGCGGACAUGGCUUUCCAAAAGAUUUAACCCUGCAGGGGUGUUCGAAUUAAUCCAUCACAAAUUACCACAGGACGCAUAGAAAUCGUCGAUCAUGAAUGUCGUGACCUCGUUGGAUUCCUUAGUGGAAAACCUCAACUCAGAGAAGACCCAAAGUCUCACCGGAAUCCCAAUGCACAAGAUAUAUCGUUAAGGUAAGACAAGUCAAGCAAGACCUCUCGACAUGUCGACGAACCCGAUGAGCGCGUAUCUCGUUGUCAAGACACGACGGAUAAGCGAUGGUUACGACACCAAAACACCGAGUUACCCCAGGGAGCAUUAAUAAGCUGCUCUGGGUUGGACCAACACUCAUGAGGAUCACUGGCCUGGGGGUUGAUUAAUUCUCCUCGGGGUAGCUAUUCCCUAUGCUUUUAUUAUUAAGAUGUUAGCAAAUUAACACCAAAGUUGGGUCUUGCCAGACAACCCUUAGUCUAAACAAUUUACCAAGGGGGUCCCCAUAACAACCCCGAACGUGUUUGGUCCGCUCAGUUAUGGAAUAAAACAUCGGAAGCCGAAACUAAUAUGUGAGGAUGGGGUAUGUGUUUGAGUUUGCAGGAACCUAAGCAUUUAUGGUGUAUAACUUACGUUGAACAAGAAUUAAAGAUAUAGUGGUAUACGCAUGACGAUUGUGAACUAAGAAUAAUCACUAAUAGAUCAUAAACGCCUACUUACAUCAUUCACAACCCCACCUAUUCUCGAUGAGAGAAGGAUCUCUGAAGAAGAUAGUCACGGUUACACACAGUUGGCAAGUUUUAAUUAAGUUACUUUAAGUCAUCUAGAACCGGGUGCUAACAAAGUAUCCAUGUUUGCCACAUAGCCGCAGCACGGCUUUCCGAAAUAUUUAACCCUACAGGGGUGCUCCGACUAAUCCAUCACAAAUUACCACAGGCCCCAUAGAAACCCUCGAUCAUGAAAUUCGUGAUCUCGUCGGAUUUCUUAGUGGAAAACCUCAACUCUAUGAAGACCAAAGUCUCACCGGAAUUCCAAUGCACAAGAUAUAUCGUUAAGGUAAGACAAGUCCAGCAAGACCACCCGAUGUGUCGACGAACCCGAUAAGAGCCGCAUAUCUCGUUCUCACGACAGAAUAGAUGGAACUAGCUAUGGGGAAAACCAAUCCCCACCUCGUGGUGGUGCAGGCAGUACAUUUUGGACCAACAAUCAUGAGGAGCACUGGCCCGGGUUGUUGAUUAAGUCUCCUCGGGGUAGCUAUUCCCUAUGCUUUUUAUUAAGUUGUUGGCAAAUUUAACACCAAAGUUGGGUCUUGCCAGACAAGCUUAACACUAAACGAUUUACGAAGGGGGUCCCCAUAGCAACCCCGAAGCUGUUAGGAGCGCUCAGUUAUGGAAUAAAACAUCGGUUGCCGAAACUAAGGUGGCAAAGGCGGAACAAAUCACCUAGAAAGAAGCCAGGUCUUCCGCCUUUUACCAAGUAUAUAGGUGCAUUAAUUAAAUAACAUUUAAAAUAAGAUGAUAAUAAAAUUGCCCAUGUUAUCACAUGGAUGAGCUUGCACCUGCAACUAGCAACGCUAAUGAAAUUGUUGAGCAAGCCUAACUUAGCCAAACAAUAUUUGCUAGGAGGGGAAAUGUUAGAGGUUUCAUGGCAAUGUUUGAUGGCAUAUAUAUCAUGUGGUAGGCAGCGGAAAAAACGGUGGAAAUGAAUCAACUAUUCAUAACAAAGCUAUAAACGGUGUCAAGGUCAUGAUCAUCUUGUGUGUGAUAUCUUCAGAGUGGAACUGUUGCCGAUCUUACUGAAUGAACUCACCGGACUCCUUGAACUCGUUUCACGCACCCAUUGCUACCAAAAGAAACAAUCACCCAAUAAACACCAGCAAGUGAUAAUACAACACACAAUAUGAUGCAUGUAUGGCACACACUUCAAAGCACACAUAGAAAUAAUCCUACUCAAAUGACAAAGUGCCACCUCAUCACAAAAUGGCACUUUUUUAGAACUGCUCAAAACUGCAAACUAGUGCAACCAUUAGAUUCCUUGGGUUUUUCUACCCCAAAUCCAUAUAUCAUACUGCUAUACUUGCAUGCAUAAAAAUACCACAAAACUGAAAAGGAAAUCUACCGAGAAUCAUAAAUCACUAUAUGUCAAAAUGAGAGGUUGAUUUUGCAUAUGCCAGGUUUGGCAUAUUCCAUCUCUGGAAUAUUAAAGAUAUGGAAAUACCCACAACUAAAAAUAAAUGCCCUCAAAAUAUAAUAUAACAUGGGGGGGCACGGGUUAUAGGCACCAGGGCCCUAGUGCAUGACUGGUGGGUUGUGUGGCCCACUGUCAGUGGCACAACUACAACAAUCAGCAACUUGCAACAGAAAAAAUGAAAAGGGGAGAAAUGUGGGUCGAACCCACCACCUCACCAAACACAACCAUGCCCCCAUGCCACUGGGCUACUUUGAUGUAGCUGCACUAAUAGGGGAGAAACUCAGAUAACCAACCAUUGCAUCCUAAUCCAUAGAAGGAAAAAAUAACCCAAAAGGGGUGCGCGCUAGGGGUCUCAAACCCACGACCAACAAGUGCGGCUGUGGCUCGGUUGCCACCGCGGUAGGUUGCGGGUUCUGCUAGAAAAGGGGCACCAAUUCAGAUAAGCAUAUCACAGGCUACACAACAGACCGAAAUUGCAGAAUUUAAAAGGGGUGCGGGGUUUUGACCCAAGACCAUCAGGUCUUUGUGUUGCGCUAGAACUAGUAGGCUAGGUAGGGGGAUUCUGUUGUAUGUUGGGAUCCACACGAGAUGUCAAAUUAAAAGGGGACGCCUUCCACUGCUAGAGAAGAGAGACGCCGGCGGCAUCUCACCGGUGCAAGCACAAGCACGCACACUCAUGACACUACAUGGGGAAACUGCUAGCGGUGUUGUGUGCUCGAGCAAAGGGCAUCUCUGGCCUUCGCAAACGCGCAUGCAAGCAAGCAAGCAGCUGUGCACGAGCGAGUGCAGCUGCACUCGCCGGUGCACUCUGCAACUGCUGCUACUACCACUAUGUCUCUGCAGCUACUUCCACUAUGGCAUUGCUGCUACUGCCACUACGAUGUUGCUUCUACUACCACAAUGGCGUUGCUUCUAGUGACACUACGACGUUGCUGUUAUUACGCGACGGUAGUGAAAAAAGCAACGGCGAUGGCAGUCUACGUGACGCCGGAUGGCUACAGACACAGAGGGGGAAGCAGAGGAGAGCAGUGUUGCGGCUCACCCAGGGUGGAGGGGAUUGGAACUCUAACGAAGGGGAGGAACGACGCGUCGACGAUCUCCUUGCAGAAGAGGUCGCAUGAGGUGCUGAAGAGCCAAUCGUCAUGGACGUCGAAGUGCUCACUCCUGGCGCCCGAUCACUACGGGAAUGGAUCCCUCUUGGCGUCCGCAUCCUUCGGGUGCAGCUGGGGAAGAAGGGGGCGACGCCUACGCCGGUGACGAGCUUGAGUAGGAGGCGGCCGUGGCGAUGAUGGUGGUGCUUGGGUCCUCGCCCCGAGGGUGCUAGGGGAAGAGGAGGAGGGA